rnacentral:rRNA from 1 species
GAGUUUGAUCCUGGCUCAGAACGAACGCUGGCGGCGUGCUUAACACAUGCAAGUCGAACGCGAAAGGGACUUCGGUCCUGAGUAAAGUGGCGCACGGGUGAGUAACGCGUGGAUAAUCUACCCGAUGGACCGGGAUAACAUUUCGAAAGGGGUGCUAAUACCGGAUAAGACCACGGCUUCUUAGGGGGCUGCGGUAAAAGGUGGGGACCUUCGGGCCUACCGCCAUCGGAUGAGUCCGCGUACCAUUAGCUAGUUGGUAGGGUAAGAGCCUACCAAGGCGACGAUGGUUAGCUGGUCUGAGAGGAUGAUCAGCCACACUGGAACUGAGACACGGUCCAGACUCCUACGGGAGGCAGCAGUGGGGAAUUUUGCGCAAUGGGGGAAACCCUGACGCAGCAACGCCGCGUGAGUGAUGAAGGCCUUCGGGUCGUAAAGCUCUGUCAGAGGGGAAGAAGUGCAGGGGUGCUAAUAUCACCUUUGUUUGACGGUACCCUCAAAGGAAGCACCGGCUAACUCCGUGCCAGCAGCCGCGGUAAUACGGAGGGUGCGAGCGUUGUUCGGAAUUAUUGGGCGUAAAGCGCGUGUAGGCGGUUUGGUAAGUCUGAUGUGAAAGCCCCGGGCUCAACCUGGGAAGUGCAUUGGAAACUGUCAGACUUGAAUACGGGAGAGGGUAGUGGAAUUCCUAGUGUAGGAGUGAAAUCCGUAGAUAUUAGGAGGAACACCGGUGGCGAAGGCGGCUACCUGGACCGAUAUUGACGCUGAGACGCGAAAGCGUGGGGAGCAAACAGGAUUAGAUACCCUGGUAGUCCACGCCGUAGACGAUGAGUACUAGGUGUUGCGGGUAUUGACCCCUGCAGUGCCGCAGCUAACGCAUUAAGUACUCCGCCUGGGAAGUACGGUCGCAAGACUAAAACUCAAAGGAAUU